UGGGGAGGAGCCGGCGGGCUCCGGGCCAUCGAGCCGCGGUUGCAGUGCUCCGCCAGGCGGCCUGGAGCUCCCGGCUUUCUCUCCCGGCCGCUCCCGCGCUCUCUCUCCUCCACGGGCUCUUCCCGCUGCCUCACCCUGCCCACCCGCCCUUCCAAUCGGCCUGGGCUGGGACUACCACGCUGGGCGCCCGGGCCGUGGGACCGGUUUCAAGAUGACUCGGCUGCGAUUCCCACACUCCUGAGUCUUCUGCUGGAAGGAUGGCCUCAUGACCAGGUUGACAGACAGCACUCUGUGUCGGUGACACAGAACUCUGGCCGACCACACUGAAGCACGAUGCUCCAGCAGGUGAAUGGCCACAGUUUAGGCUCUGAUGCCGAAGGUAGGGCCUCCCUCAAGGGAGACCUAAGGGAGUUCCUGGGUGGGGAGAUCCCACUGCACCAGCUGGAUGACCUCACCAAGGUGAAUCCCGUGACACUGGAAACAGUCCUGAGGUGCCUGCAGGCCCGAUACACAGAAGACAUAUUCUAUACCAAUGCUGGCUGUACCUUGGUAGCUCUGAACCCCUUUAAGCACGUCCCUCAACUCUAUGCACCAGAACUGAUGCAAGAGUACCAUGCUGCACCUCAGCCUCAGAAAUUGAAACCCCACAUCUUCACAGUGGGUGAACAAACCUAUAGAAAUGUCAAGAGCCUGAUUGAGCCGGUCAACCAGUCCAUCGUGGUCAGUGGAGAGAGUGGAGCCGGAAAGACAUGGACAUCCCGAUGCCUGAUGAAGUUCUAUGCGGUGGUGGCUGCCUCACCGACUUCCUGUGAGAACCAUAAGAUUGCAGAGAGGAUUGAACAGCGGAUUCUGAACUCCAACCCUGUGAUGGAAGCUUUUGGGAACGCAUGCACACUGAGGAACAGCAACAGCAGCCGCUUCGGGAAGUUCAUUCAGCUCCAACUCAACAGAGCCCAGCAGAUGACAGGAGCUGCAGUCCAGACCUACCUCCUAGAGAAAACCCGUGUGGCCUGUCAGGCCUCCAGUGAGAGGAACUUUCACAUCUUCUACCAGAUUUGCAAAGGAGCCACCAAGGAUGAAAGGCUCCAAUGGCACCUCCCUGAGGGAACUGCCUUCUCCUGGCUACCCAAUCCAGAAAGCAGUUUGGAAGAGGAUUGUUUCGAGGUGACCAGAGAGGCCAUGCUCCAUUUGGGCAUCGACACCCCCACCCAGAACAACAUCUUUAAGGUCCUAGCUGGACUGCUGCACCUUGGCAAUGUCCAUUUUGUUGACUCAGAGGAUGAAGCCCUGCCCUGCCAAGUGAUGGAUGAUACCAAGGUCUCUGUGAGGACCUCAGCCUUGCUGCUGCAGCUCCCAGAGAAAAUGCUGCUGGAGAGUAUGCAGAUUCGAACCAUCAAGGCAGGCAAGCAGCAGCAGGUGUUCCAGAAGCCCUGCUCCCGAGCCGAGUGUGACACACGCAGAGACUGUCUGGCCAAACUGAUCUAUGCACGGCUGUUCGACUGGCUGGUGUCUGUGAUCAACAGCAGCAUCUGUGCAGACUCCAAAUCAUGGACUGCCUUCAUAGGGCUGCUAGAUGUGUAUGGGUUUGAGUCAUUUCCUAAUAACAGUUUGGAACAGCUGUGCAUCAACUAUGCCAAUGAGAAGCUACAGCAGCACUUCGUGGCUCACUACCUCAGGGCCCAGCAGGAGGAGUACGAAGUUGAGGGCCUGGAGUGGUCAUUUGUCAACUACCAGGACAACCAGACCUGCUUAGAUCUCCUUGAAGGGAGCCCCAUCAGCAUCUGUUCCCUCAUAAAUGAGGAAUGCCGCCUUAACCGGCCAAGCAGUGCAGCACAACUACAGACGCGCAUCGAGAGCACGCUGGCAGGACGGCCCUGCCUGGGCCAUAACAAGCUCAGCCGGGAGCCCAGCUUCGUGGUUGUGCAUUUCGCGGGACCUGUACGGUACCACACAGCCGGCCUGGUGGAAAAGAACAAGGACCCUGUUCCCCCUGAGCUGACUGAGCUCCUGCAGCAAUCCCAAGACCCCCUGCUCACGAUGCUGUUUCCUGCCAACCCUGAAGAGAAGACCCAGGAGGAGCUGUCUGGCCAGAGCCGGGCUCCUGCAUUGACUGUGGUGUCCAAGUUCAAGGCCUCACUGGAACAGCUCCUGCAGGUCCUACAUAAUACAACACCCCACUACAUUCGCUGCAUCAAGCCCAACAGCCAGAGUCAGCCACAGACUUUCCUCCAAGAAGAGGUCCUGAACCAGUUAGAGGCCUGUGGCCUUGUGGAAACCAUUCACAUCAGUGCUGCUGGCUUUCCCAUCCGGGUCUCUCACCAGAACUUCAUAGAAAGAUAUAAACUACUGAGAAGGCUCGGACCUCGCAUGUCCUCUGGCCUCGGGGGCCUGGAGCCUGCCGAAGGGUCCUCUGAGCAGCCUCUGUGUGCCAAGGAGGCCACACUGCAACCUCUACUACAGGACAUUCUCCAUGCUCUGCCAGCUUUAAUUCAGACAGCAGCCACUCCCAGUGACCCGGCUAAGAACACACAAAUCCCACUGUACUGUGGCAGGACAAAGAUCUUCAUGACUGACUCCAUGAGCUUCUGGAAUGUGGGCGUGCCCAGAUGCUGGAGCAGUGUGCCCGUUGCAUCCAGUGUGGCUGGAGGCGACACCGGCUCCAAAAGCAGGAGAAACAGAGGCGGGCUGCCGUGCUCAUCCAGGCUGGUAGGUGGGGCUGAUCCCGUAUGGCGGGUGUGACCAACACAAAGGCCAAGGGUAGUGUCCACACCUGUGAGCCCAGCUUUGGGGAACUGAGAUGGAUCUUAAGUUUGAUGCCAGCCUGGGUAUGUAGAGUCCUUGUCUCCAAGGAAAAAAUAUGUAACUUGUCUUUUUGUAAGUACUAUACCACAGAGCUACAAAUCCAUACAAACAAACAAACAAACGGUUUUAAAGGAACAGAUAACCCAGAUCCCACUCCUUCCUUGGGCACUGCUGAGGACUGAGUCUGAGACAGGCCCUUGGCAGUUAGAGCUCCCAGUCUAAGGCUGUAUGUGUUACCAUAUGCAUGCAGGUGCCCAUGGAAGCCAAAAGGGAAUCAGAUCUCUUGGAGCCAAAAGAGAUCAUGAACCACCAUGUGGGUGCUGGGAACCAAAUCUGGGUGUUCUGCAAGAGCAGUAAGUGCUCUUAACCACUGAGCCAGCCUCCCUCAGGAAUGACUUUGUACUGACAGAGUGUAUCCCUGGAAGAGCAGAUUCCAUACUUUUACUCUGGUUCUAAUGGUGGUUUUGACGUCUGUGCUGUUUCCUUAGCUUUUAGGUCCUGGUUAACUCGGAAACACAUCAGAAGGUUACACAUAGCUGCCACGGUCAUCAAGCACGCAUGGCAUAAGUGGAGAAUCAGAAUGGCCUGUCUUGCCUCUAAAGAACUGGAUGGUAUGGAGGAGAAACCCAUGCCUCAGGCUCCUGGUACCCUGCGGUCCUCGAUGUCCCCAGCACACACUAGGUUCCUGGGAGCAAUAAUCCAUCUCUGGCCCCUGGGACUGGUGCUAGCCAACUCAGCUGAUGGCGUACGUGGCUUUCAGAGGAAACUGGUAGCCCAUGCCUGCCUUCGGCUUCCCUCAGACAGACCCAGCAACAAAGUCCAGACACCACAACAGGAUCAGGCUGGUAUUACAUCUAUCAGAGCACUGCCCCAGGUAUGUUCUCGUUCUGUGAUAUCAUGGCAGUCCUUCCCACAGCUCCGAACUGUUCACUGAGAAAGGCAGGGAAAAAGGCUUGGAGCAGCAAAAGACUUCCUAACCCUGCUGGGUAAGCCAAAAACUCCAGGUGUGGAUUACUGCCGUUUUUUCAACUAAUGACCGACCGGGACUCUUCAGAGCCCUUCAGUUUUAAAACCACUUCCAAACAGUUUGCCUUUGAAGGUUUGGCUCUGCCUCACAAUAUGAGCUCCUCAGUUAGACAUGUAGCUGAGCCCUGAUGGACAUAAGCAGCAUCGUACAGGGUAAGUGUAAGAAUUAGAGUGCAUGGUUAACCCAGGAAGGACAUAGUGAGUCCCACUUGGAAGAAAUGAGUGUGGCUGUUACCUCAAAUGACACUGCAUUAGGCAGUUUCUCAGACUGUAUCACUUGGUUCCUGGUUGUCACUCUCUCAAUGAAAAAAGCAAAGGUAUGGCUGUCCUAUGUACUGUGGAGCUCGUUCCACUUGAAAGCAGAGCCUCAAGCCUGGUCUCAGCUUAGCCCCUCCCUGGAUAACCUGUGAUUGAUGGCACGUUGUCUCAGAACUUCCAUUUUCUCCUGUGAGCCUGGGUUAAUACUUAGCCUAGUACAAGGGACCAGAGAAAAGAAAGGCAAUCAACAAGAUGCUAUAUAAUAUGUAAAGACUCUCCCUGAAAUCAACAAGGGGUAAACAGAAGUGUUCUGAUCUUCCAGCUCUAACUAGUCACAAGAUAUUUCCAGUCUCAUGGAAUGGAUGUGAGAUUUUAUUCCUUUAUUUAUCUAAGCCCUGCCACUCAUAGGAUGCAUCUCUUUCUCCCUAGGGCUCGAUAAAGUUUCACUGCAGGAAGUCUCCACUUCAGUAUGCUGACAUCUGCCCUGACCCUUCAGCCUCCUGUGUUACUGGCUUUAAUCAGAUUCUGCUAGAAAGCCACAGGCCAGUCCAAGUGUGACUCUUCUACCCCCACCUGCCUGAGUGAUCUUUAGUGCCUUUGUUUCCACAAGGCCUUUUCCUGCCAGCUGUCUUGCCAAAGACAUUAGAUCCCACACGCAAGUGCCAAGCUAUUCCCACGGCGACUCCAACUGCACGUGCAAGCAAAUUCCAGCCUGAGCCAGGGCUUCAUGGCCAGAGUGCCAGCCUUCCAGGGCUGUGGCUUCAGCACUGGCAGGAUCUGGGGGUGCUGGGUACCAAGCCAGGAUUAGGGCCACAACAUCCCAGCUUAGUAUCUUUGUGCUCAAGCUCCAUCCAGAAUGUUGUCACUACAGCAAGAUGGAUACUGGGCCAUCCACAAGCACUUUAAAAGGGCCAAGUCACCCUAAAAUUGCCUCUAGAAUUUUGGCUGGGGGAGAACUUGCAUAUAGUUUACUAAGGGAACAAUAAUAUUUAAUAAACUGAUUUAUUUAAUGUUACCAAGAACAAUGAACAAUGCAGCAUCAAGAGAACCACACCUUAAAUUGUUACACUAUGUUUUUAAUUCAAAUGGAUAUACUUGGUAUUUAUGAUGCAACUCUGAACUGUACAAGAAAUAAAAUUUAGAACCAUCUAAAUAUAAAUAGCCAA